rnacentral:rRNA from 1 species
GGACGAACGCUGGCGGCGUGCUUAACACAUGCAAGUCGAACGCUGAAGCCUGGCUUUUGUUGGGUGGAUGAGUGGCGAACGGGUGAGUAACACGUGAGUAACCUGCCCCCUUCUUUGGGAUAACGCCCGGAAACGGGUGCUAAUACUGGAUAUUCACUGGCCUUCGCAUGGGGGUUGGUGGAAAGGGUUUUCUGGUGGGGGAUGGGCUCGCGGCCUAUCAGCUUGUUGGUGGGGUGAUGGCCUACCAAGGCUUUGACGGGUAGCCGGCCUGAGAGGGUGACCGGUCACAUUGGGACUGAGAUACGGCCCAGACUCCUACGGGAGGCAGCAGUGGGGAAUAUUGCACAAUGGGCGCAAGCCUGAUGCAGCGACGCCGCGUGAGGGAUGGAGGCCUUCGGGUUGUGAACCUCUUUCGCUCAUGGUCAAGCCGCAACAAUGGUUGUGGUGAGGGUAGUGGGUAAAGAAGCGCCGGCUAACUAC